rnacentral:rRNA from 1 species
GGGUUGUCAUGCCAAUGGCACUGCCCGGUAGCUAAAUGCGGAAGAGAUAAGUGCUGAAAGCAUCUAAGCACGAAACUUGCCCCGAGAUGAGUUCUCCCUGACUCCUUGAGAGUCCUGAAGGAACGUUGAAGACGACGACGUUGAUAGGCCGGGUGUGUAAGCGCAGCGAUGCGUUGAGCUAACCGGUACUAAUGAACCGUGAGGCUUAACCUUACAACGCCGAAGCUGUUUUG